rnacentral:snRNA from 1 species
UUCGGUUUUGUUUUUCCU